AUUGAACGCUGGCGGCAAGCCUAACACAUGCAAGUCGAACGAGUGGCGGACGGGUGAGUAAUGUCUGGGAAACUGCCUGAUGGAGGGGGAUAACUACUGGAAACGGUAGCUAAUACCGCCUACCAUCGGAUGUGCCCAGAUGGGAUUAGCUAGUAGGUGGGGUAAAGGCUCACCUAGGCGACGAUCCCUAGCUGGUCUGAGAGGAUGACCAGCAACCCUGGAACUGAAACCCGGUCAAGCCUCCGACGGGAGGCAGCAGUGGGGAAUAUUGCACAAUGGGCGCAAGCCUGAUGCAGCCAUGCCGCGUGUAUGAAGAAGGCCUUCGGGUUUUAAAGUACUUUCAGGGGGGAGGCGUUACCCGCAGAAGAAGCACCGGCUAACUCCUUGCCAGCAGCCGCGGUAAUUC
rnacentral:rRNA from 1 species